AUGAUCCAGGAAGAAAAAUUAGAUUCUCAAGUUGUACUGAAUCAGCUCAAGAGGAUUGAGUUUCUUGAAGAAACAUCAGGGAAUUAUUAUUUUCCAUUUCUGGAAAAACACAAAGAAUAGUAACAACAUCGAAGGGAAAACACAUUUUCAUCACCAUCCUCCCCGGUCAUUGUUUGUGAAUGGCAGCGUGAAGUCUGGGUUUGUCAUAGCCUCCUGGAAACAGUAUUUUGAUAGGUCUACAAUAAAAAAGCAACCACCUGUAGGCAAUGGAGU
rnacentral:lncRNA from 1 species